UACAGAGGUCUCAAGCGUUGUUCGGAUUCCUUGGGCGUAAAGGGUUUGUAGGUGGCGCGCUAAGUCGGGUGUGAAAUUUCGGAGCUUAACUCCGAAACUGCAUUCGAUACUGGCGUGCUUGAGGACUGGAGAGGAGACUGGAAUUCAUGGUGUAGCAGUGAAAUGCGUAGAGAUCAUAAGGAAGACCAGUGGCGAAGGCGGGUCUCUGGACAGUUCCUGACACUGAGACACGAAGGCCAGGGGAGCAAACGGG
rnacentral:rRNA from 1 species